rnacentral:rRNA from 1 species
GCUGAGCGGCGGACGGGUGAGUAACGCGUGGGUACCUGCCUCAUACAGGGGGAUAACAGUUAGAAAUGACUGCUAAUACCGCAUAAGGCCGCAUGGUAAAAACUCCGGUGGUAUGAGAUGGACCCGCGUCUGAUUAGCUGGUUGGUGGGGUAACGGCCUACCAAGGCGACGAUCAGUAGCCGACCUGAGAGGGUGACCGGCCACAUUGGGACUGAGACACGGCCCAAACUCCUACGGGAGGCAGCAGUGGGGAAUAUUGCACAAUGGGGGAAACCCUGAUGCAGCAACGCCGCGUGAGGAAGAAGUAUUUCGGUAUGUAAACUCUAUCAGCAGGGAAGAAAGUGACGGUACCUGACUAAGAAGCCCCGGCUAACUACGUGCCAGCAGCCGCGGUAAUACGUAGGGGGCAAGCGUUAUCCGGAUUUACUGGGUGUAAAGGGAGCGUAGACGGCACAGCAAGUCUGAAGUGAAAUCCCCGGGCUCAACCCGGAACUGCUUUGGAAACUGUUGGGCUGGAGUGCUGGAGAGGCAAGCGGAAUUCCUAGUGUAGCGGUGAAAUGCGUAGAUAUUAGGAGGAACACCAGUGGCGAAGGCGGCUUGCUGGACAAUAACUGACGUUGAGGCUCGAAAGCGUGGGGAGCA